AUUGAACGCUGGCGGCAGGCCUAACACAUGCAAGUCGAGCGAGCGGCGGACGGGUGAGUAAUGUCUGGGAAACUGCCUGAUGGAGGGGGAUAACUACUGGAAACGGUAGCUAAUACCGCAUACCAUCAGAUGUGCCCAGAUGGGAUUAGCUAGUAGGUGGGGUAACGGCUCACCUAGGCGACGAUCCCUAGCGGGGCUGAGAGGAUGACCAGCCACACUGGAACUGAGAAACGGUCCAGACUCGUACGGGAGGCAGCAGUGGGAAAUGUUGCACAAUGGGCGAAAGCCUGAUGCGGCGAUGCCGCGUAUGUGAAGAAGGCCUUCGAGUUGUAAAGCACUUUCAGCGGGGCGGCGUUACCCGCAGAAGAAGCACCGGCUAGCUCCGUGCCAGCCGCCGCGGUAAUAC
rnacentral:rRNA from 1 species